AAUAGAUACCCGGGUAGUCCACACCGUAAACGUUGGGCGCUAGGUGUGGGACUCAUUCCACGAGUUCCGUGCCGCAGCUAACGCAUUAAGCGCCCCGCCUGGGGAGUACGGCCGCAAGGCUAAACUCAAAGGGAAUUGACGGGGCCCGCACAAGCGGCGGAGCAUGCGGAUUAAUUCGAUGCAACGCGAAGAACCUUACCUAGGUUUGACAUAUACGAGAAGCCUCUAGAGAUAGAGGUCUCUUUGGACACUUGUAUACAGGUGGUGCAUGGCUGUCGUCAGCUCGUGUCGUGAGAUGUUGGGUUAAGUCCCGCAACGAGCGCAACCCUCGUCUUAUGUUGCCAGCACGUAAUGGUGGGGACUCAUAAGAGACUGCCGGGGUCAACUCGGAGGAAGGUGGGGAUGACGUCAAGUCAUCAUGCCCCUUAUGCCUAGGGCUUCACGCAUGCUACAAUGGCUGGUACAAAGGGCUGCGAUACCGCAAGGUGGAGCGAAUCCCAAAAAGCCAGUCUCAGUUCGGAUUGGGGU
rnacentral:rRNA from 1 species